rnacentral:RNase_P_RNA from 1 species
UCGGCCGGACGGCCGCUCCCGCUGGUGCCGAAAGGCCGCGGGGGAGGAAAGUCCGGGCUCCAUCGACAUGCGGUGCCGGAUAACGUCCGGCGGGGGCGACCCCAGGGAAAGUGCCACAGAGAACGAACCGCUCCCCUCCUCGGAGGAAGUAAGGGUGAAAAGGUGCGGUAAGAGCGCACCGCGUUGCCGGCAACGGCGACGGCAUGGCAAACCCCACCGGGAGCAAAACCGAAUAGGGACAGCAUCGCGGUUAGUUCGCGCUUGCGCGAUAACACCGCAGGGCGAUGUCAGGCCCGCUGUCCGGGUAGGUUGCUCGAGGCAAGGUGCAAACCUUGUCCCAGAGGAAUGGCCGUCACGCACCAUUCGCGAGAAUGGUGCCCUACAGAACCCGGCUUACAGGC